GGGGACGUAGUUCAGAUGGCAAAGCGCUCGCUUAGCAAGCGAAAGGUACGGGGAUUGAUAUCCCUCGUUUCCA